AUCCAAUUGACGAGUCCGAAGUGGGACGAAACGCGUGUCUUGUAU
rfam:Schistosoma curassoni strain Dakar, Senegal genome assembly, scaffold: SCTD_contig0001935